CUUAUUUAAACGUGCCGACGCCGCGCGUCGCUUUCUGCGCAGCAGGCGAGAAUGGCGGCGGUUUCCGGCGCCUCUGAGACCCGGGCUUAGACUUGAACCUCGCUGCCGGUUUGUGAACCUGUCGGUUGAAGGGAAGAGAGUAACAGCACUUCCACAGUAAACGCAGCAGUCACUGCGGUUGCCGGGACAGCCUUAGGGGGAAGCCAGCUGUGUAUCACCAGGUAGCCCUGGGGAGAGAGGUCGUGUGGGGAGGAACCACCUCCCAGAAGUGCGCUUGGAGGUCAAGCCUGCUCUGGGACGGCCCCUGGAGACUCAGCUCCCGUGAACAGUGGGCUUCGACCUCACGAGAGAUCCCAGCCAGAGCCCCGGCUCAGCCUCUCAGCCCUGACCCACGGAAACCGUGAGAGAUAACUGAAGGUGAAAGGGCCAGAGAGAACUCCACCCCGCCCUGCUGGUUCUGAAAAUGGAAGGGGGCCAGGACCCAAGGAGCGUGGCAGCCUCCAGAAGCUGGGAAGCUCUCGGCUUACAACCAGUUAGAAAACUAGAACCUGGUCCUGGUCCAGCAACUCAAAGAACGGAGUCUACCAGUGACCCAGCUGAGCAGGAGACAAAUUCCUCCCUGGAGACUCCUGAAAGAAAUGCAGCCCAGCCAACAUGAGCCUCGUGCCUGCCUCUCCACCCCAUCUCUGAGCAGCGCUCCUGGCGGCUAAUGAACACAAGAGUUCAGUGACUACAGUGAACUCUGAUUCAAUGAGUGCAUCACUGAAAGAAGCAAUCAACUAAUACAUGAAAAUGGAAAAAAAACACAAAUCAACACUCCCUACUCCUCUUCAAAGGGGUCUACCAUUUACUACACUUAGAUACCGUGUGUAUUUUGUGGAUCAUGGCAUCAUUACACUCAGUUUCUUGGCACCUCAGACCAUGUCUAUUAUUUACCAUUUGCUCCAAAUAUUAGUCAAGAACAUGAAUUCUUUGAAUAUUUUACACUCAACAACUAAUCUCGGUUAAACCUGGAUGUCUAAAUUGUAUCAAGAAGUUGAUGUUCAAUGACAACACAUGCCUCCUUCAAAUAAAACACCAUUUCAUUUUAAAUGCUUAAUGUGAUUAAAAAGAGAUUUAAGUUCUGACUACAAACUUUUCCCAAUGACUGUCAUACUAAGCAUAACAUAUAGGUUGUAUAUUUAUUUAUAUUUAGCUCCCCAAGAGCCACUGAAAGCAAACAUAAAUGAAAUUCCCAAAGAAUGCCAAGAUUUUAUACCAGUCAUUCAUUUCAACGUCUUCCACCUCCUAGCCUUUGAAUCAACUGAAAACAAGUAUGAACAAUAUGCUUCAUUCAGUUCCUUCCGGUCUGCAGGGAAGCGACAGAUGCUGGAGAAGGAACUGGUUACUCCACCCCCAGAUAAACAAAAUCAACUAUGAGACAAGUUGUAACUUCCCUCCAGCUCAGACUUAUCCAAGGUAAUAAUGAUGAGAAACUCUGCCUCUUCACUUACUUCU